GAUGAACGCUGGCGGCGUGCCUAAUACAUGCAAGUCGAGCGAACAGACGAGGAGCUUGCUCCUCUGACGUUAGCGGCGGACGGGUGAGUAACACGUGGAUAACCUACCUAUAAGACUGGGAUAACUUCGGGAAACCGGAGCUAAUACCGGAUAAUAUAUUGAACCGCAUGGUUCAAUAGUGAAAGACGGUUUUGCUGUCACUUAUAGAUGGAUCCGCGCCGCAUUAGCUAGUUGGUAAGGUAACGGCUUACCAAGGCAACGAUGCGUAGCCGACCGGAGAGGUGGGUCGGCCACACGGGAACUUAGACACGGUCCAGACUCCUACGGGAGGCAGCAGUAUGGAAUCUUCCGCAAUGGGCGAAAGCCUUACGGAGCAACGCCGCGUGAGUGAUGAAGGUCUUCGGAUCGUAAAACUCUGUUAUUAGGGAAGAACAAAUGUGUAAGUAACUAUGCACGUCUUGACGGUACCUAAUCAGAAAGCCACGGCUAACUACGUG
rnacentral:rRNA from 1 species